rnacentral:lncRNA from 1 species
AUCAGGAAGACGUGGUUCUCGAGCCCGUUCCGCAGGAAGACGGUGAGUUAGAUGCCUAAGGACCUUAUAGCUCUAUUUAUAGUUUUUAUUUUGAGUAUCUCUUUUAAUUAGCUUAUUCUUUCAUAUUUUGAGUACGUUUUUUGGUUAUUGUGUAAGGGAUAUUAAUCAAAAAUUUUAUUACGCUUCCGCAUUUAAGAUUUUUAAUGCAUACAUCUUCAUUUAAAUUCCGGGGCCGUUACAAAGAUGCUUAUUCUAAGGAGCUCCAGCUUUAAAGAAUAUUCUGAUGAUCAAAUCCAGCUAUAAUGGGCCUUUAGCUGAAUAUAUUGUUGAACCCCCACCAAGUUCUAGAUGUGAGGUAUGAUAUAUGAUAAUGUGCCUUAUGACUAUUGAUGUGAUACCCACUAAAGAUAAACCUAAACUAGAGGAGUGUAAGAAGCGGACUGGUAUUAAUGAGCUUCCAGGAAACGAAAGAAAGCAAUUACGAGGUAACAAUACCCUAUGCUACUCUAUUCUUCACUAAGUAUCAAACAGUGAGGCCGAAUCCACCAAACAGAGUUCCCGACCUAGGAAGAAAUGACACUAGAAGGUGUUAAAAACCCAAAGAAAAACGGACUUUACUGUUAAGAAACGGCUUGGCCUGAAAAUCCCGGCCUAAGAAAGAAGUCUGAAUGUAGUCUGCAUAUGGGUACCCGUAGGGUAAACAUGUGUCGCAUUGCAUAUAUAGGAUAGGAUACUUGGCCCACACAUUCAUCGAUGUUCUAAGCUCCCAUGGUGAGGAAGUCGAAGGUAACUUUAUACUUCGCAGGAAAAUCAGAGACAGGCAACUUUCUUGACGCAUAGACCUGGAGGCCCACAUGCGAGCAAGGAUGCUUGCGUAUGCGCCGAACAGGCAAGCCAACCUACACAACCCAUGAACACACACAUGUGCCCACAUGUGCCGCGCACAUGAGUGUCGGGAGCACCAUACACGUGACCUUCUAGGCCCACACAGAACCGACCGCGCGCGCAAGCCCAGAAGGCCGAACGCGUGCGCAAGCCCAGAAGGCUGAACGCGUGCGCAAUGUGCGGACGGGCCCGAGGCCAGCCCAACCAAGCCCACGAUUCCUACGGGCCUUUCCCACGCUACCCAAGUGGGCCGAUUGACCCAACCUAAUUGGGUUACCCUAAAACCGGCCCUCCCUAAUUCUUUUAAAUUAAUUAAUAUUUUUUUAAAGUUUAAAAAAUGAGCUUUGGGACCCAUUUUUUAAAUUACCCAUGUUAUUAACUUAAAAUCCCACAUGUCUAAAUUAAUUUCUAAAUAUAUUUUUCAUGGAAGUCACAUGGGAUAAGUAUUAAUGUAUUUUAAUUAUUAUUUUAUUAUAAGUCAAUCCCUUAAGAUUAUUUAAUUAAUAUUUUUGAGAUAGGAUAAUUAUUUUAUUAUGUAAUUAUCCUAAAUUUAGAUAGAAUUUUAUUUAGAACGUUAUUUUAUUAAAUUAUCCCAAUAGUUUGUAUUUAUCUAGAUUGCUCGAAAAAAACUAUAAAUAGGCAUUUGCUCAUAGAUUGUAAACAUACCAAUUACAAUCAGUAUGAGAGAAUUCUUAAAAGCUUAGGUUUUUAUUUUUUUUAGCAUUUUUACUAAAUUAGCUUCUCCAAGUUCUUUAAGAAGUAGGAGUUUUCAGAAAUCCUAUUGAGCUAAGAAGCAGGGAUCAACUUAUCAGUAAAUCUGUUGCGAUUUUUCUUUUCUUGUUUUUUUUUCCUAGUCUUUGUUUAUGCAUUUCUUCUACGAUUGUAGAUUCAAUUAGAGUGAUGAGUUUAUCUAGACGAUUAUAGUUCCUUGCUCACUAUUUUUUCUAUUUGAUAAUGACAAUAAUAAUAAUAAUAAUAAAAGAAGAUUCAGCAGAGGAUAAGAAGUCUUACCUUACUCUAUUGGAUAUUCACAAGUGAAAAAAGACGAAUGAAUCCAACUUUUCCUUUUCCUAUUUUACGUUCUUCUUUUCUUCUUCACGACUUCAUUAUGCGCUGGCAAGUUCGUUAACAAGUCAAUGAAAGGACAAAGAGGGAGUCAGUAGCAAUGGUGAUGUAGCUCAGAAAUAUAGAUAGGAGGAGGACGAGAACUGGUGACCCCAAGAGUAUCAGAGACAUGGAUGAAGAGGGAAACAGGGUUGUUGUCCUGACUGAUGCAGCAUCAUGUUGAUUCCAUUGCUGGCAACUCUCUCCCUUCUCCGUCUCCCUUUGUCCACUUUCCUUCUGGUUAUUAAUCGAAGAAUUUAAAAUUUUGAGAAUUAAAUUAUUUGUAGACUUUAAAAAUUCUCUCAAAAAAAAUUAAAAUUAAUUAAUUAAAUUAGUAGAUUACUAUACAUUAAAAAAUAAAAAAAACAUGUUUAAAACUAUUAUUAUUAUUAUUUUAUUUAUUAAUUAAAAUUAAUUCAGUUUAAACAUUAGAUAAUUUGUUUUAAGAAAGAAGCUUAAAAUAAUCAGAUAAUAUUAAAAUAUCAAACUAUAAUACAGUUUUAAAAAAAUAAAAAAUAAUCAUACUGAAAAAAAAGUUCCAUACAAAAUUAUAAAAAAAAAUCAAUUUUUAGAAACUAAUUUAAUAAUCUAAUCUAAUAUCCAUUUUUAAAUUAAAUAAUAGUAAUUUAAAAUUGAUAUUUAUAUUAAAUAAAAUAUUUAAUUAAAUGAAUAUUUUAAAAUAACUUAAAUUAUUAAAAUAAUUUCUAAAAAAGUAAUAUCAAACAAAUAAUUAUAACAAUUAAAUCUUAUAGCAUAAUUCUUAAUCCUCGUUUAUCAUUAAUUUUGUAACAUAAUAACUUAAUAAAAUAUUUUAUAUUAAAGACAUUUUUUACAAGUAAAAAAUAAUAUUUCACUUUAAAACCACUUCUAUUAAAAGUCAUUUUGAAAGCAUUUUUACCAACUCCAAGCACUGGCUUUGUAAAACAGACUUUAAAAUCAAUCCACUCAUAUUCUUGUGCGAUCUACCCACAAAUGAAAUGUGCACUAGCUUUAGGGGGAGGAAAAAAAGCACCUUAAUUAGUUGUGUUCAUCUUUGCUUUAUGCAUGUAUAUAAAUUUGAUUCAAUCGCUACCCAAGUAAAAACAUUAAACAAAGGCCAAUGAAUCCAAUUAUAAUAAGAUUAAGAGAGACAACACAAAACUAUAAAACUCAAUUGGUUAGCUUCACAGCUCAANNNNNNNNNNNNNNNNNNNNNNNNNNNNNNNNNNNNNNNNNNNNNNNNNNNNNNNNNNNNNNNNNNNNNNNNNNNNNNNNNNNNNNNNNNNNNNNNNNNNNNNNNNNNNNNNNNNNNNNNNNNNNNNNNNNNNNNNNNNNNNNNNNNNNNNNNNNNNNNNNNNNNNNNNNNNNNNNNNNNNNNNNNNNNNNNNNNNNNNNNNNNNNNNNNNNNNNNNNNNNNNNNNNNCUGAAUCAGUCUCAAAAGCUGGGGGUUUUGCUUUCCAAGCUCCUGAAGCAUGGGCUGUAACAAAAACAGCAUUUUCAACUCUUCUCAAGAAGCUACCAAGAUAAAUUCGGUUUAAAGAGAAAAAGAGAUUCAGUGACCUGUAAGAUUUGUGGAUUUGAUUGCACUAUUGAUCGCAACGUUUGGAACUAAAACCAACAGAGAAACAAGAGAAGUUAUCUCAUCGCGAAAAUUCAUCACCUACAAAUCUUUAGAUAUUGCCACUUUUCAAAUAAUUCAAUAUCAAUCAGAUUUAUACUAAUAACUAAUGAGCCAGAUACUCGUAUAAAGAGGAAAUAGAUUGUUCAAAUUAGCCUUAAGUUUAAAGACGGCCUAAAGAUUAAAAAUUAUAAUUUUAUUAAAUACAAAACUAGUAUGCUAUUUAGGAGUCUAUUAUCAUAGUUCUAGUAACUUUAUAAUUUUUUGUUUUCAAUAUUUAUUUUUACUAUUUACAUUAGUAGUAUUAGUUCCUCAUCCUAUUAGUGUUAGUGAUCUAAUUCUACCGAAGAACUAUUAUGUACAAAUUUUGGUAAAUUCACUUCUAGUUAUUCAGUAAAAUUUUUUAUGCAUUUCUUAAUUUUCUGAUUCUAUGUGCCAUCAAACUCUAUAUUAAGACUUAUUCGAUGUAGAUAUAUAAGAAACUCUAGAUGUGAUACCUAAAUCUUUGUCUCCAAAUUCCUAAAUAGCUAAUUUAAUCCUAAUUCAUGCUAGAUCAGUUUGUAUAAUAGCUAAAGAAUCCUACUCCAAAAACUUAAAACCCCACACCCAAAUACCCAAACUCGACUGACCGGGAAGAAAAACAGAAAUAACCAAUCACUGAAGCCCAUAAAUCAACUGCCAAGGCAAUCAGAACCAAAGACUCUCUCUCAUCCCCAAAAGCCCAGGGUGAAAUUCCACGGAAAACAAGCCACUCACGAUUGCACUUUUUCCCUAUCCUGCCUUCUCAUUCCCAAAUUUUCUUGUUGAUAGUGUUUCCUACCACUACCAGAUCUGGUACCACUCUCUCAAGCUGAACCUAGUGUUGGGACACUGAUGCUGCUCAAUGAACAAAAAUUGGUGCAUAGUUCCUAUGCAAACGUAACCGCAAGUGAAGUAGUCAGAUUGCCACUGUUUUGACUUUCUAAGAUUGGGUUGACCAAAUCAGUUCAUCCUAUCCAGUUUUAGAGCCCUUCUACACUGGUUACAAUUCCCCAAUUAAUUGUCAUGCACUCAGUUUUCUAAUUAACCAUCAACUUCAACAUCUGCAGUAUAAAAGAAUUUUCAGUACGUGGAAUAUUAAGGAAGAUAAUGAGCUAUAGCUAUGAGAUAAUAAAGCUGACAACUCUUUCUUAGUUGUAGCCUGAGCACAAUCAAACAGGAAAAAGUGAAGCAAAGGUCGAAAGCAUUCAACAAUAUUUUCAAAUCCAAACCUUUGUGGCAUAGAGAGAAGCUUGUCAUUUACAAAGAUUGUUUCCAGAAUCUUGUUUCAAUCUCUAUCGUUGAACGACAGUCUUUCGACACAAUCAUAUCCGCAACCAUAUAGAUUAGCUUGGACAAAUAGUACAAGUAUUUUGGUAACUCAACCAAGUCUUGACUCUAUUCGUCAUGGUAUUUACAGAGAUUCAAUCUUGUGCAACAUUGUUCCUACAAUGUUCAUAAAUGUUUGUCUAGGUCAACCUUAGCUUUUUAAUAGACAUGUUCAGUAUAACGUGACUACUAAUACCCAUUAUUUUACACUUGGCACAAAGGAUAUAGCUUUAAAAUCUAUGACUAAGAAGAGAUGAGGAAACAUAAACAUCCAAAAGCAUCUAUGGAGAGAAAAAGCUCAUUGAAGUUGAAAACAAGAACUGCCGCGUUCUCCUAAUAGUAGAGAUGUUGAGGUUACUAAAGAUUUUUUCAUUACGCGAAGAGACUUAGACAAUUUUUAUACAGUAUAUAGAUAAAAUUAGGUUGUUACAAAACUAUUAACAAUUUAAUUUACACAUGAAUACUACCGUUGCACUUUUACAUAUAUUAGAAAAGGUCAAUUGCAAGGAGACACCGAUGGCAAUAAUUAGAUCUGUUUAACUCAAGGAUGAAGUUAAUGCACAAUUCUUCCGAUACGUUGAUUUCAUCCUCCUCUCAAUAAAAUUUCACUCUAUUAAAUAAUCAUGUGUUUCCAUUAGUUUUAGCAUUAAAGAGAAUAACCGGACAGAAAUUUUCCUAGAGUUUUGUUACAAGAUUACAUGAUAUUUACUUGUAAUUAUUGGUAGCUGACUUUCCAUAUAUAUUAGCAUAAUUAUAUACAGCCAAUUAAUAGGCUAAUUUAUGUUAGUUACCUUACACAGAUCCCACUAUAUGUAUAUAUAUCCCUAACCUAUUAGAAUGAAACUAUCAGACAAUGUUCCUAUAUUUUUCCGCUCUCUUACAUAGUCUCAAAGCCAUGGAUUGAGAGUUGGGCCAGAUCAGAUCUGAUCUGUGUCCCAACCACCACUGAAGGAGAAAUAGAGGCAGCAGCUGCGGCGGCAUCUGAAACGAGGAGGCUUGGAGCCGAUCUGGUGAGACGAGACAGCCAGAAUCAGAAGGGAGGGAGAAGCCAAGGAGAUGGCUUGUGUACACGGCUCGGAGAAGACAAACCGUGCAGCAGGAAUCCUGAUAUGCGUGUGCAGCAGCCAGUCCAGAUCCAAGUCGGGGCGUGGCGGGGAGAAGACAAUCCAGCCUUGUACGCGACAGAUCGGUCUAGAUCUGCGUGAGGUCGGUCUGGAGAGGGUGUAGAUGAAGCUAUCUGUGUCGGAAUCAAAAGGUCGGAGAGGAAGAAUCUGAGGCAGUUGCCAUCGGUUGCGCGAAGCUAGAUCCACAAAUUUUUCAGUGUUUUCCGGCGCGAUUUAACAAAAUCCGUUCACUUGUUCAUUGCAAAAUUAUAUGACUCAACAAAAGAUUCUCUAUCAGUCCUCUUGUGUUGAUACACCCACUCAAAAUGGAAUAACUGAGAGAAAGACUAAACAUUUACUUGAGACUGCUCGAGCUCUUUUAUUCCAAACACAGGUCCCUAAGCAGUUCUAGGCUGAUGCUAUUUCCACGACCUACUUUUUAAUUAAUCGUCCGUCAUCUAUAGUACUUAAUGGAGAUGCUACUUACAGUGUUUUUUUUUUCCAAACAAGUCAUUGUUUUUUAUUCAACCUAGAGUAUUUGGUAACACCUGCUAUAUUCGAGAUGUGUUGCCUAAUAUUACUAAAUUAGACCCAAAUGUCUUGAAAUAUGUAUUUUUGGGAUAUUCUUACCUUCAAAAGGAAUAUCAAUGCUAUUUUCUAGAUCUCAAUAAAUACGUGGUAUCAACUGAUUUGGUAUUUUCAGAGAACACGUCAUUCUUCUCCUUAUCAUCUAAUUCUACAAAUUAAGAGGAGGACGAUGAGUAGCUCAUUUAUAAGUUCACAUCAAGUGUCUCAAAUGAGCAAUCAGAUAAUGGUGUUUCUUCAGAUGAUGUGUCUCCAACUCUAAUUGAGUAAGUUGAUGAUGGUGUGCCUCUGACCGAAGUACAACCACCAAUUAUUCAUAUUUAUUACAAAAGACAACAGACUAAUGAUACAUGUCCUGUACCAGCUUCCUCAUCGUCUGAUCCUAUCCCACAUGACUUGGAUCUUCUCAUUAAUUUUCUUAACGGUAAACAUUAAUGCACCCUUUCUAAAUCUACGUAUCCCAUUGAUAAUUUUAUUUCAUAUAGUCACCUGUCCCAUUCGUUUAUUUUUUUUAAUUACUUUUAUAGAUUCAAUUUCCAUACUUAAGGGAAUUAUGGAGGCUUUGAAUCACUCUCUUUGGUAUAAAAUGAUGUUUGACUAGAUAAAUGCUUUCGGUGAAAAUCAUACCUAAGAUUUGGCGAAUUUGUCAAAAGUAAAAAAGUUGUGAAAUGCAAAUGGAUCUUUUCAGUCCAAGUGAAUCCAGAUGGUUCCGUGGCAAGACUUAAAGUCAAACUAGUAACGAAAGACUAUACUCAAACUUAUGAAGUGGACUAUUCUGAUAUAUUCUCUCUAGUGGUCAAACUUACAUCUCUUUAAUUAUUCAUCUCUAUUGCAGCCUCCCAAAAGUAGCCCUUACAUAACUUAGAUAUUAAGAAAGCAUUUUUUCAUAGUGAUCUCUCAGAAAAAGUGUAUAUGAAACAACCACAUGAAUUUGUUGCUCAAGGGGAGUAUGAGAAUAUCUGUCAUUCAAAGAAAUCUUUGUGUAAUUUAAAACAGAUUCCCCGUACGUAAUUUGGCAAGUUUAGGGAAGUAGUUCUAUAUUAAAAAAGAGUAAGUAUAAUCAUUCGAUCUUUUAUAAAUAAUUAAUAGCUGGUAUUAUACUUUUUGUUAUUUAUGUAGAUGACAUUGUCAUUAUAGGAAAUGAUUGUGCAGAAAUAUCUUCUCUCAAGUCAUUCUUGCAUACUAAGUUUCACACUAAAAACUUGAAUCAGCUAAAAUAUUUCUUUGGAGCCGAAGUAACAAAAAGCAAGAAAGGAAUUUUCUUGUCUCAAAAGAAGUAUGUACUUGAUCUAAUUGCAGAAAUUGAAAAAUUGACAGCUAAGUCGUGCAAUACACAAAUGACGCCACAUGUAUAUCUUACAAAAGAUAAUAGCGAACCUCUUGAUGAUCUGGAAAAGUACAGGCAACUAGUUGGAAAAUUGAAUUAUCUCACAGUGACUUCUAGAUAUUGCAUAUCAUGUUAAUGUUGCUAUUCAUUUUAUAUCUGCAUCUACAAUCAAACAUUGAGAAGCUUUAUAACAAAUUGUGCUGCUUAGAAGGUGCUCCAAGACUUAACAUAUUAUUUAGCAAUUAUGAGCACACUCACAUUAAACGCUUUGCAGAUAUUGAUUUGGCUGAAUCUAAAAUUGAUAAACGGUCCACUACAGGUUAUGUGUUUUUGCUAGUGAGAACUUAAUAUCAUGAAGAAGUAAGAGGCAGACCGUUGUGCCCUAAUCUAAUACAGAAUCCGAAUAAAGAGCUAUGACCCAAUCUACAUGUGAAGUCUUAUGGAUACAUCACCUUCUAACCGAAGUGGGUUUAAAUCCUGUGUCACCUGUAAAACUCAGAGUGUGAUAAUUAAUCUGCAUUUCAUAUUACUUCAAAUCUAGUGUACCAUGAAAGAAUCAAACAUAUCAAAAUUCAAGAAAACUUGGUUUCUAUUGGUUAUGUGAAGACAGGAGAACGUGUAAUAUAUUCACGACUUUAAUGCAACUCGAACUGAAUACUUUCGUAACAAACUAGACAUGAUAAAUAUCUAUGCUUCAACUUGAGGAAGAGUGUUACAAGAUUACUUGAUAUUUACUUGUAAUUAUUGAUCGUUGACUUUCCAUAUAUAUUAGCAUAAUUAUAAACAGCCAAUUAAUAAACUAAUUUAUGUUAGUUACCUUACACCACUCUAUAUGUAUGUAUAUCCCUAACCUAUUGAAAUGAAACUAUCAAAAAAUAUUCCUAUAUUUUUCCGCUCCCUUACAAGUUUCUUGGAAAAGCUCGAGGUUAAUGUUCUACAUUAUUCGCUAUUUCACAACUUAUAGAUGAGUUCUUUCCAACGAGGAAAGAAUUAUGCAAAAUAAUGUAAAUUUAAAUUGCUAAAUAAAAUUAAGAAUGAUAAUUAUAUUACACAUAAAGCCAAUGUAACAUUCAGGAAUUUACCAUUAAAUGUUUAGUGCCUUUAGGUUCUUAUUUUUUCACUAUUUAGUUUCCUUGUACUUACCGUAUUAUUCUCCAAUUUUAUUAGUAUUAGUUAUCUAAUUAUAUUUAGAAACAUAACUAAAUUAGUAUUAUAAAUAUUUUUGUAAAUUCACUUUUUGAGACAUCCUUUAGUUAUUCAAGAAAGAAACUAAAUUUUCCAGUUCUAUAUUGCACUAAAUCCUUACAUUUGAUGCUUAUAAGUUCUUAGAUAUAACAUCCAAGAAACAGAAAGUGUGAAGCGUAGAAUUUAUUCCUAAAUUCCCAAGAAUGCAAACUUAGCCCCAACUUGUACUGUAUUAUGGUGAUUAGAUUCUAGGUUUUCUGGUUUAAUAGAAAAGAGACUAUAUUAGCAUAAGAGAGAAAAAAAAUGUGGAGAAUAAGACAUCUUCCUCAAAGAAUUACAUCAGAUACAACGAAAAGAAACAUAGGAAUGAAAAACUCUAAGAGAUGGAAACAACAGGCUGCCAGUUUCAGUGAAGCAUAGGAAUGAAAAACUCUAAGAGAUGGAAACAACAGGCUGCCAGUUUCAGUGAAGCUCUGAGACGGCUAUAUCAGAGUAUCUCCUUGACUUUUGAUGCAAAAUGUAGAAAGAAAUAUAACCCUAUCCCACAACUCCUAAAGAGAAGAUAACAGUCAUAAAAAAUUCUGCAGCUUUUUUCCAGCCAAAUCACCCAUAAUCCUGCAAAUAUUGCCCCUUGCAAUAAAGGCCUGGCUCCCUUGCGCACCCUUCUCCACAAAUACAUGAACCCAUUAAGCCCUCAACCUAGAUCCUAGGUUUCAGGAAGAAUUCAGCCAAAUCUUCCAUAUUAGUUUGUACCCAAAAUUCAGCUAUAAAAUCAUCAGAGAACAACUUAUAAGAAAAAGGAGGUUUAAAGUAUCCAACUCCAUAUACCAAAAGCUGUCCAACAAGUCCUAAUUUUGGAAUUGGAGUAGGUUGUUAUGGAAGAUUUCAGUCACUUCCACCAUCAUUUUGAGGCAUUUGUUAAUAUAUAUCAGGAGGAUCCAAAGCAUUGGAAACCAAACCAAGAAUUCAAUACAGGGGGUGAAUGACCUGACUAGGGAACUUUCAGUCCCUUCGGGCAAACAAAACAUAGGUGAAGUCAGCAUAAACAUAGGUGAACACAGUAUUGCCAGGGGAAGACAUUACUAGCUCCUGGUUCCGUUUAGGCCACGAUCAUUUUGAUGCUGGUUCUUUUAUCUCCAAGGAUUCUACUAAAGUUCAAGAUUUUGAUGGCUCUUUUGACCACUUGCAUUCAUUUGAUCGCUGCAACAUUUUUUUUUGGCUGUCAGAAUCUCAAUCAGUCCCACCUAGACAAUUUCUGAUGGGUUUAGAUGAUGCUAAUCAAGGCUUCCAGCUUCAGGAAUUACUUGCUAUAUUUACCAAAAAUUUUGGUACGCUACAUGUUUGCCUCAUGUACACAGUUCUAAAAUUUUGCUGCAAUCUGUUGCAAGACGGAGAAAAAUUUUCUCAUUCUGAAGUUAACAAAAGUUACUUUAUGUCGAGUGAAGACUUUUUUAUUGUUCUAAAGCACUUCUAUGGCACAGGAACAACCUCCGGAUUUGGGAUGAUCUGUCAACUGGAAUUUUUUCUUUUGGGAAGCUGUUCGACUAGGCUGUCUCUGUUUCUCAUUAUUGGUGCUUGCGGACAAGCACCUAUCAGAGGAGGUAUGUAAUCUUAUAGUCCAUAAUAAAUAAUAAAAGCACUUAAGAGUCUGGUUUAUGACACGGACCCACAGACAGCAAGCAGCGGGCGGAACACAGGCAAAAUGCAAAGAGAACCAUUACUGCUUUGGUUAAAGUGAGAUGCCUUUUAUUUCAGGAGUUUCCUUAUCUCUGUAAUUUAAAUAAAAAAGGCAACUUAAGAAAGCCUAAGGUCAUGGUGAUUAAAUAGGCUAAUUAUUUUUUUUCAAUAAAGUGUGAAUAGAUAAUAAACUGUAUGCGAUUAAAUCACUAAUUAUCGUAACUUAAAAUCAUGAAGAUUAGAUUACCAGUUUUAGGAAGAAGUAAGCAGGCUUAUUCCUAUUUAUUUGUACCCUUUUAUAAAAAUUAUGCAAUCAAAUCAUUGAAGAAAAAUUUAUACAAAGAAUUUUAGAUUAUUUAACUGCUGAGACUCAAGGACUUUAGAAUCCUAAAUACUAAUACCACACAUUACUGCACAUAACCUGAUCCCGAAACCAUG